ACUGGGCAUGGUGCUGCAUGCCUAUAAUCCCAGUGGCUUGGGAGGUAGAGGCAGGAGGAUCGUGAGUUCAAAGCCAGCCUCAGCAACAGUGAGGCACUAAGCAACUCAGUGAGACCCUGUCUCUA
rnacentral:sRNA from 1 species